AAAAGUGGUUCCAGCCGGUGGUGGGAACCAAUCUGUGUUGGACCAAUGUGCGUCAUGCUCUAUUGCUGAGCACACCACCAGCAAGGACAAAAAUACGAAAACGGAGAACAUUUCCCUGCGAAAACAACUGGAGUCCUUAGAGGCAGACGGUGGCUCCACGGUGGACUGCGGAACUGUCCGGGUUACUGAUGGGAUCUUCACCUGCGACCCUGAAAAAUAUUGAGGGUUGAAAGCUGCUUCUAUCAUUGCCUUUUUCAAUGGUGGUACUGUGGAUUGACACAGAGUUAUGUGAACCUGUGAGCUUCUAGUUUGACGAACAUCAGACGCAGCCUUGAGAAGACAGCUGACACUACUUUCCUCACAGCUUGGACACACGUGCCAUGUUUGAUUUGGCCUGAAUGGCCUGAGGCUCUGCGUCUAUCUGGUGUCCAGCGCUUGACGUAGACAGAAAUCCAAUGGGAGCAGCUGAAACAGGCAGCGA